UACGGAGGGGGCUAGCGUUGUUCGGAAUUACUGGGCGUAAAGCGCACGUAGGCGGUCUUUUAAGUCGGGGGUGAAAUCCUGGAGCUCAACUCCAGAACUGCCUUCGAUACUGGAAGACUUGAGUCCGGGAGAGGUGAGUGGAACUGCGAGUGUAGAGGUGAAAUUCGUAGAUAUUCGCAAGAACACCAGUGGCGAAGGCGGCUCACUGGCCCGGUACUGACGCUGAGGUGCGAAAGCGUGGGGAGCAAACAGG
rnacentral:rRNA from 1 species